GUUUAUGUUUAGGGCAUUAGGCCCGUGUGUGUAGCCCAAGCAGAUUAGGCCUUGGGCCAAUCUGAGUUGGGUUUUCAACCCAAAACCCUUAAAGCCCAUUCGGCCCAACCCAAAUUCAAAGCCCAGUUGACUUUGACCUCUGACCAGUUGACUGUUGACUGUUGACUCAGUCAACGGUCAACGGUCAGAGUUGACUUUGACUUUGACCAGUCAACGAUCAACGUUGACUUUUUGAGUUGACUUUUUGGGGUUUCGUUCAGGACCUCUCCUAGGCUAAUUUCAACGUCCUGAACCCGUUUUUGAAGUCCGUUUUCCCAAAUUCAAUCGUUUGAUUAGAGUUUGACCAAAGGUACUCCUUUAUGUGAAUAGGUGAAAUUAUUAACGGUGAUUCUGCUAUACCUUUUUGGUACAGCUUUGCAUCAUCGGUGUACGGACCUACGAACGAGGAUUACGAUAUAAGCUACGAGGCCUUUCCCUACCAGUGAUCCAGUGCUAUACUUCUUCUGCUUCGAUAUCUUUUGUAAUAUAGCACAUCUCUAUCUUAAAUUCUGUUUGUACUCUGUAAUAGACGUAUGCUCUGACAUUAUGCGUUGAUCCUAAUGUUAUUAAUUAGAAGUUGAUUUUGUAGUAUUA